UACAGAGGGGGCCAGCGUUAUUCGGAAUUAUUGGGCGUAAAGGGCGCGUAGGCGGCCAUGCGUGUCUUUCGUGAAAUCCCUCGGCUUAACUGAGGACGUGCGGAAGAAACUGUACGGCUUGAGGCCGGGAGGGGGUAGCGGAAUUCCCGGUGUAGAGGUGAAAUUCGUAGAUAUCGGGAGGAACACCGGUGGCGAAGGCGGCGACCUGGGUAGAUACUGACGCUGAGGUGCGAAAGCGUGGGGAGCAAACAGG
rnacentral:rRNA from 1 species